UCUUGGCGUAGUUGGUUAUCGCGUCUGCCUAACACGCAGAAGGUCGCCAGUUCGAACCUGGCAGAA
rnacentral:tRNA from 1 species